UACGGAGGAUGCGAGCGUUGUCCGGAUUUAUUGGGUUUAAAGGGUGCGUAGGCGGAUCGUUAAGUCAGUGGUCAAAUUGAGGGGCUCAACCCCUUCCCGCCAUUGAAACUGGCGAUCUUGAGUGGAAGAGAAGUAUGCGGAAUGCGUGGUGUAGCGGUGAAAUGCAUAGAUAUCACGCAGAACCCCGAUUGCGAAGGCAGCAUGCCGGCUUCCUACUGACGCUGAAGCACGAAAGCGUGGGGAUCGAACAGG
rnacentral:rRNA from 1 species